rnacentral:rRNA from 1 species
UACGGGGGGUGCAAGCGUUGUUCGGAAUUACUGGGCGUAAAGGGUUCGUAGGUGGCCACGUAAGUCAGACGUGAAAUCCCUCAGCUUAACUGGGGAACUGCGUCUGAUACUGGUCGGCUUGAGCGCAGGAGAGGAACGCGGAAUUCCAGGUGUAGCGGUGAAAUGCGUAGAUAUCUGGAGGAACACCGGUGGCGAAGGCGGCGUUCUGGACUGCAACUGACACUGAGGAACGAAAGCCAGGGGAGCAAACGGG